rnacentral:tRNA from 1 species
GCACCCAUAGUGAAGUGGAUAUCACAAUAGUCUUCGGAACUAUUAUGCCGAGUUCGAGUCUUGGUGGGUGCACCA